AAUGGCAUAUGAUGGACAUUCUUAUCCUACACACUGAAUGCAAUGUGUGGACCAAUACUCCGCUUAUUAUCUGAUGCCACU